AGCUGGCUGGCCCAUGAGGUGACUUCUGCCCAGUGCUCUGAUUGUCAAUGCGAAGAGAUUCAGCCAAGCGCGGGUAAACGGCGGGAGUAACUAUGACUCUCUUAAGGUAGCCAAAUGCCUCGUCAACCAAUUAUUGACGCGCAUGAAUGGAUCAACGAGAUUCCUGCUGUCCCUAGUUGCCGCCUGGUGAACCAACAGCCAAGGGAACGGGCUUGGGUGUGUCAGCGGGGAAAGAAGACCCUGUUGAGUUUGACUCUAGUUUGCUGCUGUGCAGUGACAUGAUGGGUGUAGCACAGGUGGGAGGCAAGUGCCCCCUCCCCCAAGCGGAGGGAGAUUCCCUUCGGAAGGAGGCCAGUCGUCAAUCGAAUCCACAUGCAGAGGAAGAGGAGCUCCGCACCUGCUGGAGGAGCGAGCGGCGCAAGCCAACAGUGAAAUACCACUACCUUCACAGUCACUUUACUCAUUGAGUUGCCUGGGAACAGUCCGCCAUACAUGAACGGCCCGUCCUGAGGGGGCUCCGCCCCACCAUGGAUGGGCUGUGGCCCAUCACUGGCUUCAUGUGCCAAGUGGACCACCAGUGUCCCCCUCGUGGGGCCUGCGUGGAAUCCUCUGUGACCCUGGAAAGAGUGCAGUCCAAUCAGAAGCCUCAAGACACAGAUCAGAUUGGGAGUUUGGCUGGGGCGGCACGCCUGUUACAACACAACGCAGGUGUCCUGAAGCAGUGCUCAGAUGGAACAGAAAUCUCUCGCAGAGGAGUAGGUCACAGGUGCUGCUGAUGCAGCGACUUCCAGAGUGCAAGUCCAGAACAUGGAAGUGUGGCCUAUCGAUCCUUUGGUCAAGCACACGAGUUUGGGAUAAUCAAAGCCAGAGGUGUCAGAAAAAUUACCACAGGGAUAACUGGCUUGUGGCAGCCAAGAGUUCAGAUCGACGUUGCUUUUUGAUCCUUCGAUGUCGGCUCUUCCUAGCUUGCCACCUGCAGCCGAGUGCAAGAGUGGAUGUUCACCCACCAACAGGGAACGUGAGCUGG
rnacentral:rRNA from 1 species